rnacentral:piRNA from 1 species
UGUGUUAAAAUGCUUGUCCCAGCUUGC